GACUGGCCCCUGUGCCCCCUGGUUGGGGGGCUUUAGGGGGGCAGUGGGAGGAGGAGGGCUAGGGCUUGGCUGAGAAGGAGGCUCCAGGAGGAGGGGCCGGGGCCGGCGUGGACUUUAGACGGUCAUAAAGUGGAACUGAACAUGGGCGCUGGAAGCCACCCCAGAGGUAGCCUCCUCCAAUCUGCACAUUGCCACUGGGCCCCAAGGGGCUCCGAGGGGAACACGUUGCCCAGGGCCCCAGAGGGUCAGGCCUCCAGACACCACCAGUGCACUCGCCCUGCUGACCACUGUACCUGUGAGGCUGGGGAAGGGGCUAGGAAGACAUGGGGGUAGGGGUGACUGACUCAGUUCUGUCGGGACACUCUGGGAAGGUGCUUCUGGGAAGGCGGUCCAGCAUUUCCAUUCUGAAGCAGGACUGAGAGAGGCUUGGCGAAAUCGUACCCCAGUUUCCUCCUCCGGGUGCUGAUUGAUGGUUGGGGAAACUGAGAAGUGGCUGGUCCCUUCCAGACCUGCCUUGGAAGCCCCUUUGAGCCCAGCCUCAGAGAAUGAUGGAGGUCCCCAAAAAGUGCUUCUAGAGGCUCUAAGGCAGUGUCACAUGUUCUGGCGUCUUCUGAGGCCAGGCGAUUUGUGAAUGAGGAAGGGCAGAAAGGAGCAGUGGGGAGCCGGGCAAAAUGAGCACAGGGACACCUCCAAGAAAUGCAACAGAAAAGUGAAAAUAAAUACACCCUAUGAGAUGCGGGAAUGCCGGCCAGACAGCAUGGCCACGCGUCUGGGGCCAUGCCGUCCCUAAAGCUGCCAGGGGACCCCCAGUACCAGGAGAUGAUUUAGUCCCCUGUGGCCCCUUCCCAGCCCUUCCGCCUGACCCUGACCUGAGAUCAAGGUGUGUGAGUUGGUUUUCCAAGGCCAGGGAGCUCUUGCAGCCUCGCC
rnacentral:lncRNA from 1 species